rnacentral:rRNA from 1 species
AAGUGAAACUGCGAAUGGCUCAUUAUAUAAGUUAUCGUUUAUUUGAUAUUGCCUAUCCUACAUGGAUAACAGUGGUAAUUCUAGAGCUAAUACAUGCUGAAAAUCCCAACUUCGGAAGGGACGUAUUUAUUAGAAUCAGAACCAAUGCCCUUCGGGGUUCCUUGGUGAAUCAUGAUAACUCCACAGAUCGCAUGGCCUUGCGCCGGCGAUGGCUCAUUCAAAUUUCUUCCCUAUCAACUUUCGACGGUACGGUCUUGGCCUACCGUGGUUGCAACGGGUGACGGAGGGUUAGGGCUCGACCCCGGAGAAGGAGCCUGAGAAACGGCUACUACAUCCAAGGAAGGCAGCAGGCGCGCAAAUUAUCCAAUCCCGACUCGGGGAGAUAGUGACAAUAAAUACCGAUACAGGGCUCUUUUGGGCCCUGUAAUUGGAAUGAGUACAAUUCAAACCUCUUAACGAGGAACAAUUGGAGGGCAAGUCUGGUGCCAGCAGCCGCGGUAAUUCCAGCUCCAAUAGCGUAUAUUAAAGUUGUUGUGGUUAAAAAGCUCGUAGUCGAACCUCGAGCCUGGCCGGCCGGUCCGCCUCACCGCGUGCACUGGUCUGGCCGGGCUCUUCCCUCUGCGGAACCGCAUGCCCUUCACUGGGCGUGUCGGGGAGGCAGGACUUUUACUUUGAAAAAAUUAGAGUGCUCAAGGCAGGCCAAUGCUCGAAUACAUUAGCAUGGAAUAAUAGAAUAGGACGUUGGUUCUAUUUUGUUGGUUUCUAGGACCGCCGUAAUGAUCAAUAGGGACGGUCGGGGGCAUCAGUAUUCAGCCGUCAGAGGUGAAAUUCUUGGACCGGCUGAAGACUAACUACUGCGAAAGCAUUUGCCAAGGACGUUUUCGCUGAUCAGGAACGAAAGUUAGGGGAUCGAAGACGAUCAGAUACCGUCGUAGUCUUAACCAUAAACUAUGCCGACUAGGGAUCGGGCGGCGUUCUUUCUAGACCCGCUCGGCACCUUUCGAGAAAUCAAAGUGCUUGGGCUCCAGGG